rnacentral:rRNA from 1 species
AUGACGCUGGCGGCAGGCCUAACACAUGUAACGUCGAGCGGAACGAUCCUAGCUUGCUAGGAGGCGUCGAGCGGCGGACGGGUGAGUAACGCGUGAGAAUCUGCCCAUUUGUGGGGGAUAACUUGGGGAAACCCAAGCUAAUACCGCAUAAUCCCUACGGGGGAAAGCAGGGGACCUUCGGGCCUUGUGCAGAUGGAUGAGCUCGCGUCGGAUUAGCUUGUUGGUGAGGUAAAGGCUCACCAAGGCGACGAUCCGUAGCUGGUCUGAGAGGAUGAUCAGCCACACCGGGACUGAGACACGGCCCGGACUCCUACGGGAGGCAGCAGUGGGGAAUCUUGGACAAUGGGGGCAACCCUGAUCCAGCCAUGCCGCGUGUGUGAAGAAGGCCCUAGGGUUGUAAAGCACUUUCAGUAGGGAGGAAGGCUUGAUCUUAAUACGGUCAAGUACUUGACGUUACCUACAGAAGAACACCGGCUAAUUUCGUGCCAGCAGCCGCGGUAAUACGAAAGGUGCGAGCGUUAAUCGGAAUUACUGGGCGUAAAGCGCGCGUAGGCGGUUUGUUAAGUCAGAUGUGAAAGCCCCGGGCUCACCUGGGAAUUGCAUUUGAAACUGGCAAGCUAGAGUGCAGUAGAGGGAGGUGGAAUUCCGGUGUAGCGGUGAAAUGCGUAGAGAUCGGAAGGACACCAGUGGCGAAGCGGCUCUGGACUGACCUGACGCUGAAGUGCGAAAGCGUGGGAGCAACAGGAUAGAUACCUGGUAGUCCACGCGUAACGAUG